rnacentral:rRNA from 1 species
UACGUAGGGGGCAAGCGUUGUCCGGAAUUAUUGGGCGUAAAGCGCGCGCAGGCGGUCCUUUAAGUCUGAUGUGAAAGCCCACGGCUCAACCGUGGAAGGUCAUUGGAAACUGGAGGACUUGAGUACAGAAGGGGAAAGCGGAAUUCCACGUGUAGCGGUGAAAUGCGUAGAGAUGUGGAGGAACACCAGUGGCGAAGGCGGCUUUCUGGACAGUGACUGACGCUGAGACGCGAAAGCGUGGGGAGCAAACAGG